rnacentral:lncRNA from 1 species
GCGUCGUCUUAUCUCGGCGCCUGUACUCCACGCGCCUCCCAGUUCUCCUUACACAGGCACAGACACCGAUGCCCGAUCCCUCUCGAGCAGGCGCGAACCGCGCCGUUGGCCGGAAACAGAGGAGUUAGCUUGAAGGUCAGGGCGGCGUCUCCGGAUGGCGGCGGAGACUCGUACCUCGGAAUGUGGAAGAAGGCGAUGGAGAACUAGAAGAAAGCCGUCAAGUUCCAGAAAAUCGUCGAGAAUUCAGCUCCGGCGGACAACGAAGUCGCCGGCGCCGGCGAGAGCAUUGAGGAGAAUCUGGAGCAUAAGAGCCAGGAGUUCGAGAGGAUUCUGGAGGUUCCGAAGGAGGAGAGGGAUCGGAUUCAG